rnacentral:hammerhead_ribozyme from 1 species
GCUGAUGAGUCCCACAAUAGGACGAAACGACCGUCC